rnacentral:tRNA from 1 species
GCCCUGGUAGCUCAGUUGGUCAGAGCGUUCGGCUUUUAACCGAAAUGUCGUGGGUUCGAGCCCCACUCAGGGCG